UAGGGAAUCUUCCACAAUGGACGAAAGUCUGAUGGAGCAACGCCGCGUGAGUGAAGAAGGUUUUCGGAUCGUAAAGCUCUGUUGUAAGAGAAGAACGUGUGUGAGAGUGGAAAGUUCACACAGUGACGGUAACUUACCAGAAAGGGACGGCUAACUACGUGCCUAG
rnacentral:rRNA from 1 species